rnacentral:rRNA from 1 species
CCUACGGGGGGCAGCAGUGGGGAAUAUUGCACAAUGGGCGCAAGCCUGAUGCAGCCAUGCCGCGUGUAUGAAGAAGGCCUUCGGGUUGUAAAGUACUUUCAGCGGGGAGGAAGGCGAUAAGGUUAAUAACCUUGUCGAUUGACGUUACCUGCAGAAGAAGCACCGGCUAACUCCGUGCCAGCAGCCGCGGUAAUACGGAGGGUGCAAGCGUUAAUCGGAAUUACUGGGCGUAAAGCGCACGCAGGCGGUCUGUCAAGUCGGAUGUGAAAUCCCCGGGCUCAACCUGGGAACUGCAUUCGAAACUGGCAGGCUAGAGUCUUGUAGAGGGGGGUAGAAUUCCAGGUGUAGCGGUGAAAUGCGUAGAGAUCUGGAGGAAUACCGGUGGCGAAGGCGGCCCCCUGGACAAAGACUGACGCUCAGAUGCGAAAGCGUGGGGAGCAAACAGGAUUAGAUACCCGGGUAGUC